UACGUAGGGUGCAAGCGUUUAAUCGGAAUUACUGGGCGUAAAGCGUGCGCAGGCGGUUGUGCAAGACAGAUGUGAAAUCCCCGGGCUCAACCUGGGAAUUGCAUUUGUGACUGCACGGCUAGAGUGUGUCAGAGGGGGGGUAGAAUUCCACGUGUAGCAGUGAAAUGCGUAGAGAUGUGGAGGAAUACCGAUGGCGAAGGCAGCCCCCCUGGGAUAACACUGACGCUCAUGCACGAAAAGCGUGGGGGAGCAAACAGG
rnacentral:rRNA from 1 species